rnacentral:lncRNA from 1 species
GUCUACGUGCUGUGAUUCACAGACACGGGGCUUCUGUUCUGUCUCUAGCUUCCGGACAUGCUGCUGUAAAUUGUAACGUGACGGCCGGCAUGACGCGUGAUGGAAAUCUUUUAUGUUUUGAUUGAUGAAAUGCAAGCAUCGUAUGCGGUCGCCGGGUGAUAAUGUAGAAAAUUAACAGAUAUUGUGAACCUUGCAAAUUAUAAGCAACAUGUAUACAUCAAUAGCAGGUGGAAAUCGUUGGUUGCAAAAAAUCAAGGAUUCAUGGUCCAAUAGCAGGUGGGGACUCACAAUUGC